rnacentral:lncRNA from 1 species
GAGCAGGUACUUGUGCUCAUACGUGUUUGUGCUCUCUGCAAGUGAGGUCCAAGGAGGACACGUGAGAGAACUGGGAAGAGGCCCUCUAUGACUGCUCUCAGCAUCCACAAACUACAAUUCCAAGCAGCCAAGUGCUUUGUCUCCCUGCUCUCAAAGUGCUUCUUGCAAAGUCUUAAGCAGCAAAGGGUGUAUGUGGUGGGUGAUGAAGUCUGAAAUGGAGGAUGUGCAUGGCUUUCUGAACAUGCUUGUGCAGAAAACUGACAACAAGUGAUGAACCACCUCUCAGUCAUCUGGUUACUGCAGAACCUCGUUUGAAAUUCCCACGUUGUGAAGGUAGGUACUUUCAAUAAUGAACACUCUUGGGGCUGUGUCACAUAAGAUCUUUUGCCUUUUAAAUGCAGAUGAUAGGCUACUAAAAAUGUCUCUCUCCACGUAGCAUUUUUUUUUGCAGUGCUGCUAUGUGUUGCAUAUGCCAAACUUUCUUCUGUGACUGUAAAAUAUUUUAUCUGGUUUAGAUUUGUUAUCUGGCCCACGAAGAAAAAGAGACACCUUGAAAUUUGGUUAUCACAUCUCAUUGAGCAAUCUUGUGAACCUGUUGAACAUAUUAACAGUUGUAUUUAAAUAUAAUUAGGUAUGGUGAACUCACUUGUUUGAAAGUUUGGUUUUGUAAAGACAUAAGCAUUCAGUUUCUUGUUAUUUGCAUACAAAGUAUGACACUGACAUCUGCACUUUCACGGAAUUCUUAUUCAGAACUUCAGUGGAACCUCACUGUCGCUGUUAAAUUGUAGCUGUAUUUUGUC